UACGUGAGGGGCGAACGUUGUUCGGUGUCACUGGGCUUAAAGGGUGCGUAGGCGGCGAGGUAAGUCAGAUGUGAAAUACCCGAGCUUAACUUGGGUGCUGCAUUUGAAACUGGGUGUCUAGAGUGCCAGGAGAGGUAAGUGGAAUCCUAGUGUAGCGGUGAAAUGCGUAGAUAUUAGGAGGAAUACCGGUGGCGAAGGCGGUUCUCUGGGCCUUACCUGACGCUGAGGAGCGAAGCGUGGGAGCGAACAGG
rnacentral:rRNA from 1 species